rnacentral:lncRNA from 1 species
UAAAGUGUUACUUGUUCCUAACAAUAAAUACUUCAUAACUAAACAAGUAUACGCAAUCAUAUGUCUUUUUCUUGGUUAAUAAGAACAUUACUAAAGUGCAGCGAUUUUGUAUUCAGCUGCUGUAAUUGACCAUUUUGACCCAUUUAAAAGCUGAAUUAGAUCAACAUGUUCAAAAAUGGAUCGUAGAACUCUGAAAUAGCUUUCUAGGCAUAUAUGGUACGUCUUCUAACGAUGUUCCUAUGAUUUUAUAUGAUUUUUACAAAAUCAGCUCUGAAGUAAAAAAAAUGCUUCCAAUCAGCUUGCUGUCAAAACAGUUCAGCCGACUUCGGACACUGGUUUGACCCGUUUAACAUCAGAAUUUAACAAACAUGUUCAAACAUAAAACGUACUUGUCAGAGUCAAACUACCAUAUCAUAUCCACAAGAUGAUUAGAUUAGUCAACCAUUAACAUGACCAUCACACCUUAUGGAUUCACACACUUAUUCACCAAAGUAUGCUAUUUAUUCAACAACUAUAUUAUUUACUUAUUUAUUUUUUUGUCAUAAUUCUUUCCAUUCACUAACCGUUUGACCCGUUAGUCAAGUUAUUUAUACAAACUAGUUAGUAAGUGAUUUUGAACACUUUAAGCAUGUCAUAUAAAGUGUUACUUGUUCCUAACAAUAAAUACUUCAUGACUAAACAAGUAUACGCAAUCAUAUGUCUUU